rnacentral:rRNA from 1 species
GACGAAGGGGGCUAGCGUUGUUCGGAAUUACUGGGCGUAAAGCGCGUGUAGGCGGUUGCCAAAGUCGGGUGUGAAAGCCUUGAGCUCAACUCAAGAAAUGCACUCGAUACUUGGUGACUAGAGGACCGGAGAGGAUAGUGGAAUUCCCAGUGUAGUGGUGAAAUACGUAGAGAUUGGGAAGAACACCAGUGGCGAAGGCGGCUAUCUGGACGGUUUCUGACGCUAAGACGCGAAAGCGUGGGGAGCAACAGG